rnacentral:rRNA from 1 species
UACGAAGGGGGCUAGCGUUGCUCGGAAUCACUGGGCGUAAAGCGCACGUAGGCGGAUUGUUAAGUCAGGGGUGAAAUCCUGGAGCUCAACUCCAGAACUGCCUUUGAUACUGGCGAUCUCGAGUCCGGGAGAGGUGAGUGGAACUGCGAGUGUAGAGGUGAAAUUCGUAGAUAUUCGCAAGAACACCAGUGGCGAAGGCGGCUCACUGGCCCGGUACUGACGCUGAGGUGCGAAAGCGUGGGGAGCAAUCAGG